GAUGAACGCUGGCGGCGUGCCUAAUACAUGCAAGUCGAGCGAACAGAUGAGGAGCUUGCUCCUCUGACGUUAGCGGCGGACGGGUGAGUAACACGUGGAUAACCUACCUAUAAGACUGGGAUAACUUCGGGAAACCGGAGCUAAUACCGGAUAAUAUAUUGAACCGCAUGGUUCAAUAGUGAAAGACGGUUUUGCUGUCACUUAUAGAUGGAUCCGCGCCGCAUUAGCUAGUUGGUAAGGUAACGGCUUACCAAGGCGACGAUGCGUAGCCGACCUGAGAGGGUGAUCGGCCACUCUGGAACUGAGACACGGUCCAGACUCCUACGGGAGGCAGCAGUAGGGAAUCUUCCGCAAUGGGCGAAAGCCUGACGGAGCAACGCCGCGUGAGUGAUGAAGGUCUUCGGAUCGUAAAACUCUGUUAUUAGGGAAGAACAAAUGUGUAAGUAACUAUGCACGUCUUGACGGUACCUAAUCAGAAAGCCACGGCUAACUACGUG
rnacentral:rRNA from 1 species